rnacentral:rRNA from 1 species
UUAGUGGCAGACGGGUGAGUAACAUGUGGGUAUCUACCCUUUGGCCUGGAAUAACACGAGGAAACUUGUGCUAAUACCGGAUAAGUCUUUACGGAGAAAGCUUUAUGCACCAUUGGAUGAGCCCGCACUUGAUUAGUUUGUUGGUAGGGUAAUGGCCUACCAAGACUAUGAUCAAUAGCUGAUUUGAGAGGAUGAUCAGCCACAUUGGGACUGAGACACGGCCCAAACUCCUACGGGAGGCAGCAGUGGGGAAUCUUGCACAAUGGAGGAAACUCUGAUGCAGCGAUGCCGCGUGAGUGAAGAAGGCCCUUGGGUUGUAAAGCUCUUUCGUCGGGGAAGAAAAUGACUGUACCCGAAUAAGAAGGUCCGGCUAACUUCGUGCCAGCAGCCGCGGUAAUACGAAGGGACCUAGCGUAGUUCGGAAUUACUGGGCUUAAAGAGUUCGUAGGUGGUUGAAAAAGUUGGUGGUGAAAUCCCAGAGCUUAACUCUGGAACUGCCAUC